UUUUUUUUUUUUUUUUUUUUUUUUUGAGAACUACCUGGUGUCUGGAUUCUCCUAGGGCCUAAAGAUUGAUGCACACAGCCCUAAAUAUGUUCUUAAAUGGGGAAGAGGCCUGAAUCUCAGUAGAAAACAGCACACAGGCCAGGAAAUUAGUAGUUUAUGUUAGAUGACAAGGAAAAAGGAUAACAGCCCUAGAUAUAACACACUGUACAGUGUGUGAGAGCUGUUUAGAGAACUUUCUCCCAAGGGCUCUACACACACAUGGAGGUGUUUGAGAGAAUACUUGCCUCUGGGUGGCAUGACUUUGCCUCUCGGCCCAAGCCGAAAUGCAAGGGUGCGACCCCUGUCACCCGUGGCCACACGCAGCAAUCAUAUUUUUUUUUGUUUUGUUUUGGCUGUCACUGUCACUGAUGGGACCACGUUAGUCAUUUUAAGCAGUGACUGGCCCAAUGGAUCCUGCCUGGUACCUCCCUGACUGGGUGAGACUCACCCUGCAGGCAGUCAGUGGCUGUUUGCUUUGCAGUGCCUGUUUGUACAUUCCCUGAGUGCUACGCUCUCUGGUCGAGUCAACUGGACAAGCCGAGAGGCUUAAAAGUCACUCAUGAGGCAAAAGAGUUUCAAGGAAGCUCUCCUCCUGGAGUCUAGCGUUCCCUACCCAUACAGCAAUCUUUCAUUCCCGAGUUCCAUCCCCGCGUUAGUCUAGUGUAUGGAUCCACGUGCUCUCUUUCAAUUUUUUCCUAUCAUAAGUGCCUUUUAAGAUUGAAUUCUGACAUAGCUAAAGCCGUCCGCCUGUGUUCCAACAGUCCUAGUUCUUCCUUAGCAAGACCUUGGGCUUGGAAUUCAGUACUGCCCCUGGUAUUACACUAUCUCUUUGAGUAAAAGUUAGGUCACUGCCCUUCACAGGAAUUUACCAUCACUAAGGAAGAAAGAAGUUUCUGACCGUAGGAGAAACCAGAAUAGAUAUUUAGAAUUAUAGCUGAGUUACACCUAUAUACAGGAAUUUACAAUGGUUUAGGAAGUAGAUCCAGCUGUGGUUUUAAAGUAUUGCAUUAUUCAUGAGAUGGUUAGCUAGAACGGAACUCCCUAGUUAGAACCAUGACUUGGGUGUGAAAGCCCUUGCACUAGGAGAGUAAAGUUCUCACACCUGGCUUCUAAGACUAUAGCUGACCUUAGACAGGGCUGACUCUGUCUCAGUUGUUUUAUUGCCCAGUUCCUUCCGAUCUUUGCAUUUUCAUUCCUCUGUUCUGUGUAAGAGUCAUUAAGCAUCCGGUUACCUCAUUUGUACCUUGUGGGUAUGUCACCCAACUACCUUGUUGUCUUCUGCAUAAAAAGUCUGAUGUUCGAUUUGACAAAUUACAUUCAGAUUCCACACAAACUCUCCUGCGUGUGUGUCUGUCUGUCAUUCAUCCACGCUUUGCCCACCCGCGUCGAGAGACCCCGUUCCACGCAGACACAGGGACCCAGAAGGUCUGCGGCACCUGCGCAAGUUCUCCAUGAGGGACUGGGGCAUCGAGCAGAAGUGGAUGUCUGUCCUCCUGGCCCUGCUGCUGCUCUACAAUGACCCUUUCUUCCCACUCUCCUUCUUGGUGAAUAGCUGGUUCCCGGGGAUGCUGGACGACUUCUUCCAGUCUCUGUUCCUGUGUGCCCUGCUGCUCUUCUGGCUGUGCGUGUAUCAUGGGAUACGGGUCCAGGGAGAGAGAAAAUGUUUAACUUUCUAUUUGCCUAAGUUCUUCAUCGUUGGACUGCUGUGGCUGGCUUCUGUCACGCUGGGAAUAUGGCAGACAUUUAAUGAAUUAAAUGAUCCCAUGUACCAGUAUCGGGUUGACACCGGAAACUUUCAGGGCAUGAAGGUCUUCUUCAUGGUGGUGGCCGCUGUGUACAUUUUAUACCUUCUAUUCUUGAUAGUGCGAGCAUGCUCCGAGCUCCGUCAUAUGCCUUACGUGGAUCUCAGGUUAAAGUUUUUGACUGCGUUGACCUUUGUAGUGCUAGUUAUUAGCAUCGUCAUCCUCUACCUACGGUUUGGAGCACAAGUGUUGCAGGACAACUUCGUAGCAGAACUGUCGGCUCACUACCAGAACUCAGCUGAAUUCCUGUCUUUCUAUGGCCUGUUGAACUUUUACUUGUACACGCUGGCCUUUGUGUACUCUCCGUCGAAGAAUGCCCUGUACGAGUCCCAGCUGAAGGAUAACCCUGCGUUUUCCAUGUUGAACGACUCUGACGAUGACGUGAUUUACGGGAGUGACUAUGAAGAAAUGCCCCUGCAGAACAGCCAGGCCAUCCGUGCCAAGUGCAGGGAAGAGUCGGACAGUGACUGAGCCCCGGGCAGCAGAUGGGACAGCAGGGGGCCAGAGGCCUGCCUGAGUGACACAUUCUGGCCCCUUCUAUCUGUUUGUGUCUGGACUCCUCUGUAAGCAAAGGUUUCCUGUUCCUUAUUUGUUUACAUAUUUUUAAAGGAAAACCCAAAUGGAUUGAAAUGUGGGGUGGAGUUUGUUUGGGGACAGCCCCACUAUUUAAGAAGAGGGGCUGCCUGGUAGAGAAUUCAAAGGCAUAUCCUGUACACCGACAUCAGGUGCGAUGGAGCCCGUAUGCAGUCAUGAGGAGAAGUUACCCAUUUUUAAUAAAAAGAAUUAUGUACUUUUUCUUUCCUUUUAAAAAAGCAAUUGAGUCUGUGGGAGGCCUGACGAUCAAGGUCCCAGCGUCGCAGUGAUGACUCUCUCCUCUCUGUGGCACCGUUCUUGAGUGCCCUACCCUCAAGGGAAGUCUAAGCUGUGCCCGCCUCAGGUGGGCGGUCUGCCUCCAUCUUCUCCAGCACAUGGUGGGGUCAGUAUGCUCACUCAGGCAUCUGCUGUGAGACUUUGAUUGUGUUUGAUGAGCCACAUUCAAUAGCAUCUUCAGGAAUGGCAAGUGGCCAGGUUCCCGUCCAUCAUUGCCACCCCCCACCCCCAGCAGAAUUGCCAUCGAAGUUGAGUCCAGAGUGGGCUGAUAGCCUGGAGGACGCCCAGGCAGCUACAGGCCAGUAGCGCUGUGGGCAAGGUCCUGUGUCAUGGUGCUUUUCAAGGGUCUGUGUACAGUUAGGAUUGGGUCUCCCUGUGCUGGAGGUGGAAAACGAGGAGGCCCUUCCGACCAAAAUUUCUGCAUCUUCACUGAGUGUGAACCCCCGGAGAGCUCUAUUAUUAUUAUUAUUUUUUUAAAUCAAAGCUACAUGAAAUACAACUGUAUUAGAAAUACUUUAUUGCCAGAAAGACUUUCUGUUUUAAUUAGGAACUAAAGUAAAGAGAAAGUAAGACAUUUUGAAUGGCUAUAGAGACAGCUGCAGAUGAAGGGACUCGCCCCAAGGUUGUUCUGGGUUUGGAGUGUGGCUCUGUGGAAAACGGAUGUCACCCACACUGAAGUUCAGCAUUGGAAGUCCUCAGGGCCACCGCCUUCCUUCCCGCUCCUCAGUUUCCCCACACAGCGUCUCUGCGAACACCUGGUAAAGGUAGCAUCCUGCCUGCCUCUGUCUUGGCAAAUCCAGAGGCCCAGUUCCGGUAGAUCCCUCUUCUGUUCCCUUCGUCUGUGCAUCGACUCAGAUUUCCGCUCUGAGCUGCAGGUUACUAUCCGUGUGGGCCCGACUCCAGGGUGGAAGACGUUCUUCAGUCUGCCUAUCUUCUUAAACUUCAUACUUUAAUAUGGAUUCCAUGUGCAUUUUUUUUUUAAAACAAAACAACUUGUAACUAUGAACAUUGGAAUGGAAACUCACUGCGAGGGUAACGGGUUUACAUGAGUUUGCACUUGCUGUGAUCACUGAGUCUGUUGGGGAAGAUACCAGAAUAUCUUAUGUUACCAGCCCUUCCCUUCCAGUGGAGCCCUGCAGCUGCCAUCUUAUGGACGCUGACUCGUACUGAUCCCAAGAUGUUCUAAUAUGUGAGAGUUUACAUGUCUUCAUCAUUAUAAAUAAGUCUCCAUGGUUUAUAACACUAUGUAUCGGUCAGUGUAAGAUAUUUUAAGCAUUUAGGUACAGACUUCAGAACUUUUAAAAACUGCCCUAUAGAAUAAUUAUAAACUGAUCCUAGUGUCCGUAAAACUAAGGGAAUAUUUUUUUUGCUGUUGAAAUAUGAAUUAUAAAGCAGCACUCCUAGGGUCGUGUGCAUCAUGUAUUAGAUGCUGUGCAAAGCUCUGCUUACAGAGCUAAGACUUCAGUGUGUAGGCAGCAGCUCAGGGGUGAGGUUAAAACACUAAACACCGCCGGGACUUUUGAUAGUCACCGGAAGACUGUUUUGUUCUGAGGGGAUUAAAAUUUUGUAAACUUAAAUUAUAAGUUCAAAGGGCUGACUUAGUUCUUUCAGGGUAACGGUUUGAAUCCUACUGUCUUUGGGGUAUUUUUUAUAUUGGUCCAAUCCAGGGGAACCUGGAAGGUGACGGCUCCCUGAUUCCCGGUGAGAGCUUCAUUUUCCCUGUGGGUAGUAAAUCUGCUUGAUUUAUUGUCAUUCAUUGCAGCAGUGAUUUGGUGCCUUCAAGCCCCAUCGAAAGGCUAGAGAAGAGGGUAUGUAAACUUACACCCGAGGCUCAUGAGGCGCUUGCUCUCUGUACAGUUAGACUGAAGUAAGCUUAGGUAUGUAAAGCCAUCCUGCAGAUGGGCAGUUUAUAAAGCAAAUCUCGCCAGCCUCAAGUGCUGAACCAUUGAAGGCACAGUUAGGAUGAACAGGUUCAAAUAUGGUUACUAAUCUUUAUAGG